rnacentral:tRNA from 1 species
GCGGCUGUAGUGUAGUGGCUAGCACUUGGGCCUUCCAAGCCCACGACCCGGGUUCGAAUCCCGGCAGCCGCA